GAUGAACGCUGGCGGCAUGCCUAAAACAUGCAAGUCGAGCGGUAAGGCCCCUUCGGGGGUACACGAGCGGCGGACGGGUGAGUAACGCGUGGGAAUCUACCCCAAACUGAGGGAUAAGCAUUGGAAACGAUGUCUAAUACCGCAUAUGGUCUUCGGAUUAAAGCUUCGGCGGUUUGGGAAGAGCCCGCGUAAGAUUAGCUAGUUGGUGAGGUAAAGGCUCACCAAGGCGACGAUCUUUAACUGGUUUGAGAGGAUGAUCAGUCACACUGGAACUGAGACACGGUCCAGACUCCUACGGGAGGCAGCAGUGGGGAAUUUUUGGACAAUGGACGCAAGUCUGAUCCAGCCAUUCCGCGUGCAGGACGAAGGCCUUCGGGUUGUAAACUGCUUUUGUACGGAACGAAACGGCUCUGGUUAAUACCUGGGGCUAAUGACGGUACCGUAAGAAUAAGCACCGGCUAACUACGUG
rnacentral:rRNA from 1 species